CGCACCCCGCGGAGCUCACACUCGACCUUCCAGAGAAGGGUGUGGACACCGUGGGAGGUUGG
rnacentral:pre_miRNA from 1 species